rnacentral:rRNA from 1 species
UACGUAGGUGGCAAGCGUUGUCCGGAUUUAUUGGGUUUAAAGGGUGCGUAGGCGGUUCUAUAAGUCAGUGGUGAAAUCCGGCAGCUCAACUGUCGAUGUGCCAUUGAUACUGCAGAACUUGAGUACAGACGAGGUAGGCGGAAUUGACGGUGUAGCGGUGAAAUGCUUAGAUAUCGUCAAGAACACCGAUAGCGAAGGCAGCUUACUAGGCUGUAACUGACGCUGAUGCACGAAAGUGUGGGGAUCAAAACAGG